UUAAAUUGAAGAGUUUGAUCAUGGCUCAGAUUGAACGCUGGCGGCAGGCCUAACACAUGCAAGUCGAACGGUAACAGGAAGCAGCUUGCUGCUUUGCUGACGAGUGGCGGACGGGUGAGUAAUGUCUGGGAAACUGCCUGAUGGAGGGGGAUAACUACUGGAAACGGUGGCUAAUACCGCAUAACGUCGCAAGACCAAAGAGGGGGACCUUCGGGCCUCUUGCCAUCAGAUGUGCCCAGAUGGGAUUAGCUUGUUGGUGAGGUAACGGCUCACCAAGGCGACGAUCCCUAGCUGGUCUGAGAGGAUGACCAGCCACACUGGAACUGAGACACGGUCCAGACUCCUACGGGAGGCAGCAGUGGGGAAUAUUGCACAAUGGGCGCAAGCCUGAUGCAGCCAUGCCGCGUGUAUGAAGAAGGCCUUCGGGUUGUAAAGUACUUUCAGCGGGGAGGAAGGUGUUGUGGUUAAUAACCGCAGCAAUUGACGUUACCCGCAGAAGAAGCACCGGCUAACUCCGUGCCAGCAGCCGCGGUAAUACGGAGGGUGCAAGCGUUAAUCGGAAUUACUGGGCGUAAAGCGCACGCAGGCGGUCUGUCAAGUCGGAUGUGAAAUCCCCGGGCUCAACCUGGGAACUGCAUUCGAAACUGGCAGGCUUGAGUCUUGUAGAGGGGGGUAGAAUUCCAGGUGUAGCGGUGAAAUGCGUAGAGAUCUGGAGGAAUACCGGUGGCGAAGGCGGCCCCCUGGACAAAGACUGACGCUCAGGUGCGAAAGCGUGGGGAGCAAACAGGAUUAGAUACCCUGGUAGUCCACGCCGUAAACGAUGUCUACUUGGAGGUUGUGCCCUUGAGGCGUGGCUUCCGGAGCUAACGCGUUAAGUAGACCGCCUGGGGAGUACGGCCGCAAGGUUAAAACUCAAAUGAAUUGACGGGGGCCCGCACAAGCGGUGGAGCAUGUGGUUUAAUUCGAUGCAACGCGAAGAACCUUACCUGGUCUUGACAUCCACAGAAGAAUCCAGAGAUGGAUUUGUGCCUUCGGGAACUGUGAGACAGGUGCUGCAUGGCUGUCGUCAGCUCGUGUUGUGAAAUGUUGGGUUAAGUCCCGCAACGAGCGCAACCCUUAUCCUUUGUUGCCAGCGGUUAGGCCGGGAACUCAAAGGAGACUGCCAGUGAUAAACUGGAGGAAGGUGGGGAUGACGUCAAGUCAUCAUGGCCCUUACGACCAGGGCUACACACGUGCUACAAUGGCGCAUACAAAGAGAAGCGACCUCGCGAGAGCAAGCGGACCUCAUAAAGUGCGUCGUAGUCCGGAUUGGAGUCUGCAACUCGACUCCAUGAAGUCGGAAUCGCUAGUAAUCGUGGAUCAGAAUGCCACGGUGAAUACGUUCCCGGGCCUUGUACACACCGCCCGUCACACCAUGGGAGUGGGUUGCAAAAGAAGUAGGUAGCUUAACCUUCGGGAGGGCGCUUACCACUUUGUGAUUCAUGACUGGGGUGAAGUCGUAACAAGGUAACUGUAGGGGAACCUGCGGUUGGAUCACCUCCUUACCUUAAAGAAGC
rnacentral:rRNA from 1 species